rnacentral:rRNA from 1 species
UACAGAGGUCCCGAGCGUUGUUCGGAUUCACUGGGCGUAAAGGGUGCGUAGGUGGCUUGGCAAGUUUGAUGUGAAAGCUCAGGGCUUAACCCUGAAAUGGCAUUGAAUACUGCCGGGCUGGAGGUUUGGAGGGGGGACUGGAAUUCUUGGUGUAGCAGUGAAAUGCGUAGAGAUCAUGAGGAAGACCAGUGGCGAAGGCGGGUCUCUGGGCCGAUACUGACGCUGAGGAGCGAAAGCGUGGGGAGCGAACAGG